rnacentral:rRNA from 1 species
AUAGAAUUAUUGCUGCGGUUAAAAAGCUCGUAGUUGGAUCUGUGCCAUAGGACGUGGUCCGCCUCCGGGCGCGUACUGCGUUCCUAGGCUUUUGGAUGGUUUUCCCGUCGUGGCUUUAAUCGGUUGCGGCGGGUGGCUAUCGAGGUUACUUUGAGAAAAUCAGAGUGCUCAAUACAGGCGUAUAGUUUGAAUGAUUGUGCAUGGAAUAAUAGAAAAGGAUUUCGGUCCUCUUUUAUUGGUUUUGUGGACUGAGAUAAUGGUUAACAGGGACAAACGGGGGCAUUCGUAUCUCUGCGUGAGAGGUGAAAUUCUUGGACCGUAGAGAGACGCCCUACUG